rnacentral:rRNA from 1 species
GGCGGACGGGUGAGUAAUGCCUAGGAAUCUGCCUGGUAGUGGGGAUAACGUUCGGAAACGGACGCUAAUACCGCAUACGUCCUACGGGAGAAAGCAGGGGACCUUCGGGGCCUUGCGCUAUCAGAUGAGCCUAGGUCGGAUUAGCUAGUUGGUGGGGUAAUGGCUCACCAAGGCGACGAUCCCUAGCUGGUCUGAGAGGAUGACCAGCCACACUGGAACUGAGACACGGUCCAGACUCCUACGGGAGGCAGCAGUGGGGAAUAUUGCACAAUGGGCGCAAGCCUGAUGCAGCCAUGCCGCGUGUGUGAAGAAGGCCUUAGGGUUGUAAAGCACUUUCAGCGAGGAGGAAGGCGUUGUAGUUAAUAGCUGCAGCGAUUGACGUUACUCGCAGAAGAAGCACCGGCUAACUCCGUGCCAGCAGCCGCGGUAAUACGGAGGGUGCAAGCGUUAAUCGGAAUUACUGGGCGUAAUGCGCACGCAGGCGGUUUGUUAAGUCAGAUGUGAAAUCCCCGAGCUUAACUUGGGAACUGCAUUUGAAACUGGCAAGCUAGAGUCUUGUAGAGGGGGGUAGAAUUCCAGGUGUAGCGGUGAAAUGCGUAGAGAUCUGGAGGAAUACCGGUGGCGAAGGCGGCCCCCUGGACAAAGACUGACGCUCAGGUGCGAAAGCGUGGGGAGCAAAC